UGGGGAAUUUUGGACAAUGGGGGAAACCCUGAUCCAGCCAUGCCGCGUGCGGGAAGAAGGCCUUCGGGUUGUAAACCGCUUUUGUCAGGGAAGAAAUCUUCCAGGUUAAUACCUUGGGAGGAUGACGGUACCUGAAGAAUAAGCACCGGCUAACUACGUGCCAGCAGCCGCGGUAAUACGUAGGGUGCAAGCGUUAAUCGGAAUUACUGGGCGUAAAGCGUGCGCAGGCGGUUAUGCAAGACAGAUGUGAAAUCCCCGGGCUUAACCUGGGAACUGCAUUUGUGACUGCAUAGCUGGAGUACGGCAGAGGGGGAUGGAAUUCCGCGUGUAGCAGUGAAAUGCGUAGAUAUGCGGAGGAACACCGAUGGCGAAGGCAGUCCCCUGGGCCUGUACUGACGCUCAUGCACGAAAGCGUGGGGAGCAAACAGG
rnacentral:rRNA from 1 species